ensembl:snoRNA SNORA62 Small nucleolar RNA SNORA62/SNORA6 family
CCUGCACAUUGUUAGAGCUUGGAGUUGAGGCAACUGGCCGAUGAACUCACAAGUGUAGGUAGUGUGCUAUGUGAGGGGCAAGCUUUUCGCUAACACCACAAGGGUCUCUGGCCCAAUGAGUGGCGUCUGAUAAUAAUACUUGCUACAAAU